rnacentral:rRNA from 1 species
UUCGGGGUACACGAGCGGCGGACGGCUGAGUAACACGUAGGAACGUACCCCAAAGUGAGGGAUAAGCACCAGAAAUGGUGUCUAAUACCGCAUGUGCUCUAAGGAGUAAAGCUCCGGCGCUUUGGGAACGGCCUGCGCAUGAUUAGCUAGAUGGUGAGGUAAUGGCUCACCAUGGCGACGAUCAUUAGCUGGUCUGAGAGGAUGAUCAGCCAGACUGGGACUGAGACACGGCCCAGACUCCUACGGGAGGCAGCAGUAGGGAAUUUUCCACAAUGGGCGAAAGCCUGAUGGAGCAACGCCGCGUGCAGGAUGAAUGCCUUCGGGUUGUAAACUGCUUUUAUAUGUGACGAAUAUGACGGUAGCAUAUGAAUAAGGAUCGGCUAACUCCGUGCCAGCAGCCGCGGUCAUACGGAGGAUCCAAGCGUUAUCCGGAAUUACUGGGCGUAAAGAGUUGCGUAGGCGGCAUAGUAAGCAGAUAGUGAAAGCGUGUGGCUCAACCAUACUCACAUUAUCUGAACUGCUAAGCUAGAGGACGAGAGAGGUCACUGGAAUUCCUAGUGUAGGAGUGAAAUCCGUAGAUAUUAGGAGGAACACCAAUGGCGUAGGCAGGUGACUGGCUCGUUCCUGACGCUCAGGCACGAAAGCGUGGGGAGCAAACGGGAUUAGAUACCCCGGUAGUCCACGCCGUAAACGAUGGAUGCUAGCUGUUAGAGGUAUCGACCCCUCUAGUAGCGAAGCUAACGCGUUAAGCAUCCCGCCUGUGGAGUACGGUCGCAAGACUAAAACAUAAAGGAAUU